UACAGAGGUCCCGAGCGUUGUUCGGAUUCACUGGGCGUAAAGGGUGCGUAGGUGGCGAGGUAAGUCGGAUGUGAAAUCUCCAAGCUUAACUUGGAAAUGGCAUUGGAAACUACCUGGCUAGAGGUUUGGAGGGGGGACUGGAAUGCUUGGUGUAGCAGUGAAAUGCGUAGAUAUCAAGAGGAACACCUGCGGCGAAGGCGGGUUGCUGGGCCGACACUGACGCUGAGGCGCGAAAGCUAGGGGAGCGAACGGG
rnacentral:rRNA from 1 species